AUGAACGCUAGCGGCAGGCUUAAACACAUGCAAGUCGAGGGGUAGAAGGAGCUUGCUCCUUUGAGACCGGCGCACGGGUGCGUAACGCGUAUGCAAUCUACCUUUUGCAGAGGGAUAGCCCAGAGAAAUUUGGAUUAAUACCUCAUAGUAUGUGAGAAUGGCAUCAUUUCACAUUAAAGUCACAACGGCAAAAGAUGAGCAUGCGUCCAUUAGCUUGUUGGUAAGGUAACGGCUUACCAAGGCAACGAUGGGUAGGGGUCCUGAGAGGGAGAUCCCCCACACUGGUACUGAGACACGGACCAGACUCCUACGGGAGGCAGCAGUGAGGAAUAUUGGACAAUGGGCGCAAGCCUGAUCCAGCCAUGCCGCGUGCAGGAUGACGGUCCUAUGGAUUGUAACUGCUUUGUACAGGAAGAAACACUGGUUCGUGAACCAGCUUGACGGUACUGUAAGAAUAAGGAUCGGCUAACUCCGUG
rnacentral:rRNA from 1 species